rnacentral:lncRNA from 1 species
AAAAUAAUGAGAGCAUAAUAAAAUAAUAAGUAGGAUAGGUCAGAGUCAACCUCUUCACACUACAUGAGAUAUAGUGUGCUGUCUCAGCCAUCCUUGAUCUCAGCACACAGUAUAAUAGGCCCCUAUUUCAUUGAGAAUGAGGAAGGCAAUAAAGCAUCUGCUCUUAUGUUGGGUGGUGAUAAGAGCAUUGGCUUGUAUCAUCACCCAAGGCCACUACAGAGACAUGGCAAUUUUACUAUUCAGGGUUUCAAAAGGUCUUGUCAUGCAAAAGUCCUUCAUGUGAAUAGACAAUAUACCAACAUGAUGGGGGCAACCAGUUACACAGCUCAAGAAUCUUUAGCAAUUCUGCAGAAAACUUUCCAG